rnacentral:rRNA from 1 species
AGCGACCGCUGGCGGCAGGCCUAACACAUGCAAGUCGAACGAGACCUUCGGGUCUAGUGGCGGACGGGUGUGUAACAAGUGGGAACGGGCUUUUAGGUGCGGAAUCACUCAGGGAAACUUGUGCUAAUACAGAAUGUGCUCUUCGGGUGACAGCUUAAUCGCCUUUCGUGCGGCCCGCGUCUGAUUAGCUAGUUGGUGAGUGAAUGGCUCACCAAGGCUACGAUCAGUCGAUGGUCUGAUAGGAGUAUCAGCCACUAUGUGACUGAAACAGGGCCCAAACUCCUACGGGAGUCAGCAUUGGGUAAUCUUGCGCAAUGGGAGAAAGCCUGACGCAGCCAUGCCGCGUGUAUGAUGAAGGUCUUAGGAUUGUAAAAUACUUUCUCCGUUGAAGAUAAUGUCUGUAGCCGGAGAAGAAGCCCCGACUAACUUCGUGCCAGCAGCCGCCGUAAAAC